GACGAACGCUGGCGGCGUGCUUAACACAUGCAAGUCGAACGGAAAGGCCCUGCUUUUGUGGGGUGCUCGAGUGGCGAACGGGUGAGUAACACGUGAGUAACCUGCCCUGUAACUUGGGAUAACUUCAGGAAACUGGGGCUAAUACCGGAUCGGAGAUCCUGCUGCAUGGUGGGGGUUGGAAAGUUUCGGCGGUUGGGGAUGGACUCGCGGCUUAUCAGCUUGUUGGUGGGGUAGUGGCUUACCAAGGCUUUGACGGGUAGCCGGCCUGGGAGGGUGACCGGCCACAUUGGGACUGAGAUACGGCCCAGACUCCUACGGGAGGCAGCAGUGGGGAAUAUUGCACAAUGGGCGGAAGCCUGAUGCAGCAGCGCCGCGUGCGUGAUGACGUCCUUCGGGUGGUGAACCGCUUUCGCCGGUGACGAAGGGUGAGUGACGGUAAUGAGUAAAGAAGCACCGGCUAACUACGUG
rnacentral:rRNA from 1 species